UACAGAGGGGGCAAGCGUUAUUCGGAAUUAUUGGGCGUAAAGCGCGUGUAGGCGGCUUUGCAAGUCGGGUGUGAAAGCCCUCGGCUUAACCGAGGAAGUGCGCCCGAAACUGCAGAGCUUGAGUACCGGAGAGGAUGGCGGAAUUCCCCAAGUAGAGGUGAAAUUCGUAGAUAUGGGGAGGAACACCGGUGGCGAAGGCGGCCAUCUGGACGGAUACUGACGCUGAGACGCGAAAGCGUGGGGAGCAAACAGG
rnacentral:rRNA from 1 species